GACGAACCGUGCGACCGUUGUUCGGAAUCACUGGGCUUAAAGGGCGCGUAGGCGGGCCGGCAAGUCAGGGGUGAAAUCCCACGGCUCAACCGUGGAAGUGCCUUUGAUACUGCCGGUCUUGAGGGAGGUAGGGGCGUGCGGAACUUCCGGUGGAGCGGUGAAAUGCGUAGAUAUCGGAAGGAACACCGGUGGCGAAAGCGGCGCGCUGGACCUCCACUGACGCUGAGGCGCGAAAGCCAGGGGAGCAAACGGG
rnacentral:rRNA from 1 species